UACAGAGGUCUCAAGCGUUGUUCGGAUUCAUUGGGCGUAAAGGGUGCGUAGGCGGCGGGGCAAGUCGGAUGUGAAAUCUCAGAGCUCAACUCUGAAAUGGCACUUGAUACUGCUCUGCUGGAGUACUGCAGGGGAGACUGGAAUUCCUGGUGUAGCGGUGGAAUGCGCAGAUAUCAGGAGGAACACCGGUGGCGAAGGCGGGUCUCUGGGCAGUAACUGACGCUGAGGAGCGAAGGCCAGGGGAGCAAACGGG
rnacentral:rRNA from 1 species